AGCAGCAUGUCACAAAGGGAGGUCAGAGAGUUCUGCUGAACUAGGCUAUUACCAUUAUUUUAGGUUCUUUAGGAUAACAAAACAUGGAAUUCUGUGCAAAAGCAAUGUAUUGUAGUACCUACCCCAGGUCUGAACAAAUCAUCUACAGUAGAGCAGUCCCUCAGAAAUGUUACAAACCCUGUUUGCCAAUUAAUAAAUGUUGAAUUUGUUUUACUUUUUGCUAAUAAGUAAACAAAUAUACGAUAAAAAAUUUUUCAGUGGGAUCUCUUUAGACAUGCUACUCCGUUAGUUCUGCUCAGCCUUCAGUCCCUAGCCCAUUAUUAAAUGCUACUUUAUUUUUGUAUAAAUUAUGCUCUUUAUAUCCCUUAGUUUUUAUGAGUUGAUAAUUUUAUUUUGUCUAUUUCAAACGUGGUUUAUUUCAAGUCCUGUAUUGUUACACUAAAAAUCUCCUGAUGUUCAGCUUCAGAAGGAAAUAACAAGUGUCUCUUGUAACAAUUAGCAGCACCCUUCUCUUAGAUGGUGGCCAACAAUCAUUAGACCUGCUGUAGAGCUUAGCAAUCCUUUAUUUAUUUUGUGUAGCAGUGUAAUCUGAAAAAGUUGCUGAAUUUUGCCUGCACACGGCGGCACUGCAGCGCCGGGUGCUGCGCGGUUGUGCCGGGGUGCUGAGCUGCCCAGUGCGGUGUCCCUGCGGCAGGCCCCGGGCAUGGCACUGCCAGGGUGGACAUGGCACUGCCAGGAUGGACAUGGCACUGCUGAGAUGGACAUGGCACUGCUGGGAUGGACAUGGCACUGCUGGGAUGGACAUGGCACUGCCAGGAUGGGCACAGCACUGCUGAGAUGGACAUGGCACUGCCAGGAUGGGCAUGGCACUGCCAGGAUGGGCAUGGCACUGCCAGGAUGGGCAUGUCUUGGGCUCCUCCUGAGGGCAGCGCCGACAGCGAGGGCUCAAGUUGUGCCUCCAGAGAAAACUGUGACACGUGAAAUCCACGUGAGACCUUCACAAGGGGGAAGGGAGCUUUUCUGUUGCACAGGAGAGGCAAAUCUAAGGAUUACUGUAAAAUGAAGUUCUGUCUAAUGUUCCUUUUUUGAGUACAUUUUUUAAAUUAUAAAACAUACAAAGGUAAACGAAGAAAACUUGCCAAGUAUGUUCUGUGUAUGUUCUGUGAAAGUACCUACAGCACAGUUGCCUUUUCUCAUUUAUACGUGUAAAAUUAUUGUAUUAUAUGACACAGUUUUGUCCCAACACGACUGUAUUUGCUAAGCUUUGUGCAUUGAAAUAUUUUUAUUUAUUUGGUUUUGGGCAGUAUUAAUAUAUCAUAAACAUAUGGUUACUGUUUUAUAUAUUCUAGUUCAUCCAGUCCAUGUAUGCUGUAAAUGUGCUAGUCUUUAGGAUGAAAACCAAUAAAGAACUGACAAGAAUAACA
rnacentral:lncRNA from 1 species